rnacentral:rRNA from 1 species
AGAGGGGGAUAACGUUUGGAAACGAACGCUAAUACCGCAUGAUAUUAUUGAGCUGCAUGGCUUGAUAAUCAAAGGAGCAAUCCGCUGAAAGAUGGGCUCGCGUCCGAUUAGGUAGUUGGCGGGGCAACGGCCCACCAAGCCGACGAUCGGUAGCCGGACUGAGAGGUUGAACGGCCACAUUGGGACUGAGACACGGCCCAGACUCCUACGGGAGGCAGCAGUGAGGGAUAUUGGUCAAUGGGGGAAACCCUGAACCAGCAACGCCGCGUGAGGGAAGACGGUUUUCGGAUUGUAAACCUCUGUCCUCUGUGAAGAUGAUGACGGUAGCAGAGGAGGAAGCUCCGGCUAACUACGUGCCAGCAGCCGCGGUAAUACGUAGGGAGCAAGCGUUGUCCGGAUUUACUGGGUGUAAAGGGUGCGUAGGCGGCUUUGCAAGUCAGAAGUGAAAUCCAUGGGCUCAACCCAUGAACUGCUUUUGAAACUGCAGAGCUUGAGUGGAGUAGAGGUAGGCGGAAUUCCCGGUGUAGCGGUGAAAUGCGUAGAGAUCGGGAGGAACACCAGUGGCGAAGGCGGCCUGCUGGGCUCUAACUGACGCUGAGGCACGAAAGCGUGGGUAGCAAACAGGAUUAGAUACCCUGGUAGUCCACGCUGUAAACGAUGAUUACUAGGUGUGGGUGGACUGACCCCAUCCGUGCCGGAGUUA